rnacentral:rRNA from 1 species
CCCUUAGAUGUUCUGGGCCGCACGCGCGCUACACUGACGAAGUCAGCGAGCAUGUCCUACGCCGACAGGUGCGGGGAAUCUUGUCAGACUUCGUCGUGAUGGGGAUUGAUUUUUGAAAUUCUUGAUCAUAAACGAGGAAUUCCUAGUAAGCGCAAGUCAGCAGCUUGCGUUGAUUACGUCCCUGCCCUUUGUACACACCGCCCGUCGCUACUACCGAUUGAAUGGUUUAGUGAGAUCUUCGGAUUGGCGCCACUGCAGCUCAGCAAUGGGCUUGGUGGAUGCCGAAAAGUUGAUCAAACUUGAUCAUUUAGAGGAAGUAAAAGUCGUAACA